UACAGAGGGUGCGAGCGUUAAUCGGAAUUACUAGGCGUAAAGCGUGCGUAGACGGUUUCGUAAGUCGGGUGUGAAAUCCCCGGGCUCAACCUGGGAAUUGCAUUCGAAACUGCGAGGCUAGGGUACGGAAGAGGGAAGCGGAAUUUACGGUGUAGCGGUGAAAUGCGUAGAUAUCGUAAGGAAGACCAGUGGCGAAGGCGGGUCUCUGGACAGUUCCUGACGCUGAGGCACGAAGGCCAGGGGAGCAAACGGG
rnacentral:rRNA from 1 species